rnacentral:lncRNA from 1 species
UGUGUGCAUAUAUAUAUAUAUAUAUAUAGAAUUAUGCUACUAUACUAUCAAUAGUACCAAGCCCUUGGUACUAUUGAGUUUUCGGCCGUUGGAUGAAAGGAUGUGCGGUUAGGAUGAUAGUGGUCCCCGAUUAAAUUGAUAGUAGUCCCCUAGGGUUGAGUGGGUGGGUGGUUGGUUUAAUAGUAUAAUCUAACGGGUGGAAAUGAUCAAAGGGUUGAUCUAACGGUAGAAAACUCAAUAGUACCAAGGACUUGAUACUAUCGAUAGUAUAGUAGCCGGACUGUGUAUAUAUAUAUAUAUAUAUAUAUGCCAUGGCUAUUAUACUAUUAUGAGUAUUUGAGCCCUCGUACUCAUAAGUUGUUUUCGAUAAUAGAGCUUUCGAAUCGACGAUCCACUCCGUUAAAUAUGAUCUAGAGUAUUUGAAACUUCUAGAAAAUAAAUUUCGUAAAUUUUCAAAAUCAUAAUAAAGUCCAUCAAGUGGGCAUAAAAUGAACGGUCAAAAUCAAACAAUGUUCUAAAAAAGGAUGAUCGGAUCCUUCAAUUCAAGAUCGGAGUUAUUGAUCUUUAUCUAUGUAGUGAAUAGAAUUUUCUAUCAAAAAUUCAACAAAUUCCGAUUCUUUUAUAU